CUGGCCAGCUCGUUUGUAGACAUCAAGGGUGGUGACAGCUUCAUGUCUUGGCAUCUCAAAGAACUUAUCCACAAGAUUGAUAAUUCCAUCAUUAAUAGCGCAGUAUAUUUUAAAGCUCUCUUUCAACACCAGUGCUAGAGCAUACUGUAUAACAUAAUUGCCAACAGCUGCACCUUCAGGCCGGCAACCAACAAGACGAUACAGCAGCUGCUGCAAUCCAGGCAACUGAUCCAACAAUUCUUCACUAUCCAAUUCCCUGGUUCUGCUGUAGCCCUUAUCCUGCCCUUGGGCAGGUCUCAGAAGACGCUCAGCUUCAAUGUCAUACUUCAGAAUUCUAAAGCAUUCAAGCCGCUCCUCCAAAAAUAAAGCAUAUGUGCGUACCCAGGCAGAGCAAUCCCAAGCAAUAGGGCUUGAAUCAUCCUUGAAAUUGGAAAGUUGGAGGAUGCGUCCUCUCUGUGAGAAAUUAAGUAGUUCUUCUCUGAAAUUAGGAUCACCCUCUCUUAAUAAUCUAUGG
rnacentral:misc_RNA from 1 species